GACGAACGCUGGCGGCGUGGAUUAGGCAUGCAAGUCGAACGGUAUCAUCCUUUCGGGGGUGAGAGAGUGGCGAACUGGUGAGUAACACGUAGGUUAUCUACCCUCAAGACGGGGACAACCCAGGGAAACUUGGGCUAAUACCGGAUGUGAGCAACUUUUAGUUGUUUGAAAGGUGGCGUAAGCUGUCGCUUGGGGAUGAGCCUGCGUCCUAUUAGUUAGUUGGUGAGGUAACGGCUCACCUAGGCAAUGAUAGGUAGGCGGCCUUAACGGGUGGUCGCCCACACUGGGAUUGAGAUACGGCCCAGACUCCUACGGGAGCAGCAGUCGAGAAUAGUCUACAAUGGUCGGAAGACUGAUAGUGCGACGCCGCGUGAACGAUGAAUCCCUUCGGGGUGUAAAGUUCUUUUAUAUGUGAGCAGUGCUUCUUAUAUUAACAGUAUGGGGAGAGAGAUAUUAGCAUAUGAAUAAGCAACGGCUAACUCCGUGCCAGCAGCCGCGGUAAU
rnacentral:rRNA from 1 species